CACGUAGUUAGCCGGUGCUUCUUAUGCUGGUACCGUCAUCCACACCCCGUAUUAGAGAGUGCGAUUUCUUCCCAGCCGAAAGAGCUUUACAACCCGAAGGCCUUCUUCACUCACGCGGCAUGGCUGGAUCAGGCUUGCGCCCAUUGUCCAAAAUUCCCCACUGCUGCCUCCCGUAGGAGUCUGGGCCGUGUCUCAGUCCCAGUGUGGCGGAUCAUCCUCUCAGACCCGCUACGGAUCGUUGCCUUGGUGAGCCUUUACCUCACCAACUAGCUAAUCCGACAUCGGCCGCUCUUCUAGCGCAAGGCCCGAAGGUCCCCUGCUUUCCUCCUCAGAGAAUAUGCGGUAUUAGCGUAACUUUCGCUACGUUAUCCCCCACUAAAAGGCACGUUCCGAUGCAUUACUCACCCGUUCGCCACUCGCCAUCAACCUAGCAAGCUAGGUCAUGCUGCCGUUCGACUUGCAUGUGUAAGGCAUGCCGCCAGCGUUCAUUUC
rnacentral:rRNA from 1 species